UACGUAGGGUGCAAGCGUUGUCCGGAAUUAUUGGGCGUAAAGAGCUUGUAGGCGGUUUGUCGCGUCUGCUGUGAAAUUUCGGGGCUCAACCCCGAACUUGCAGUGGGUACGGGCAGACUAGAGUGUGGUAGGGGAGACUGGAAUUCCUGGUGGUAGCGGUGAAAUGCGCAGAUAUCAGGAGGAACACCGAUGGCGAAGGCAGGUCUCUGGGCCGAUACUGACGCUGAGGAGCGAAAGCGUGGGGAGCGAACAGG
rnacentral:rRNA from 1 species